rnacentral:rRNA from 1 species
UUCUUAGUGGCGAACGGGUGAGUAACACGUGAGAAUCUACCUUUAGGAAGAGGAUAACAUUUAGAAACAUUUGCUAAUACUCUAUAUGCCUUACGGUGAAAGAAUUUAUUCGCCUAAAGAGGAGCUCGCGUCUGAUUAGCUAGUUGGUAGGGUAAAGGCCUACCAAGGCGACGAUCAGUAGUUGGUCUGAGAGGACGACCAGCCACAUUGGAACUGAGACACGGUCCAGACUCUUACGGGAGGCAGCAGUGAGGAAUUUUCUGCAAUGGGCGCAAGCCUGACAGAGCAAUACCGCGUGAGGGACGAAGGCCUACGGGUUGUAAACCUCUUUUUUCAAGGAGGAAGAUCUGACGUUACUUGAAGAAUAAGCAUCGGCUAACCCUGUGCCAGCAGCCGCGGUAAUACAGGGGAUGCAAGUGUUAUCCGGAAUUAUUGGGCGUAAAGCGUCUGCAGGUUGAUAAUUAAGUCUUUUGUUAAAACUUUGGGCUUAACCCAAAAUCGGCAAAAGAAACUAUUUAUCUUGAGUAUGGUAGAGGUAAAGGGAAUUUCGAGUGGAGCGGUGAAAUGCGUAGAUAUUCGAAAGAACACCAAUUGCGAAGGCACUUUACUGGGCCAUUACUGACACUCAGAGACGAAAGCUAGGGUAGCAAACGGGAUUAGAUACCCCGGUAGUCCUAGCUGUAAACGAUGGAUACUAGAUGUUGCGUACUUUUUAAGUAUGCAGUAUCGUAGCUAACGCG